rnacentral:rRNA from 1 species
AGAGACAGCAGUAGCCGCGGUAAUACGUAGGGUGCAAGCGUUAAUCGGAAUUACUGGGCGUAAAGCGUGCGCAGGCGGUUAUAUAAGACAGAUGUGAAAUCCCCGGGCUCAACCUGGGAACUGCAUUUGUGACUGUAUAGCUAGAGUACGGCAGAGGGGGAUGGAAUUCCGCGUGUAGCAGUGAAAUGCGUAGAUAUGCGGAGGAACACCGAUGGCGAAGGCAAUCCCCUGGGCCUGUACUGACGCUCAUGCACGAAAGCGUGGGGAGCAAACAGGAUUAGAUACCCCAGUAGUCCCUGUCUCUUAUAC